rnacentral:rRNA from 1 species
GAUGAAAUAGAACUCUGUGAAGGGAGUCAAAAAGACGUGAAAUUGUUGCGAGAGAAGCGAUCAAGUCAGCGUAGCUAGGCCCAUCAAGCUUCUGCUUUGGACUAGCUUUGCCAGCGGUCUUGUCCUUUUAGAGACUUGACUUUUGACGUGCCCUGUCCGGUCUAACGGGCAGGCCCUUCGGGGCCAGUGGCAUGGCUGGUGGAAUGGCUUGCAAUCGACCCGUCUUGAAACACGGACCAAGGAGUCUAACAUGUGUGCGAGUAUAAGGGUGGCAAACCCGUAUGCGCAAAGAAAGUGAUAGCCUUUUAUGGCUGAGAAUGGCCUGAUGACCAGACAAGCAAUAUUAUGUUCCUCGUACGGUCAUUGCCCAAGUCCCGUGGUCAGAUCCCAUGGACAUGGAGUUAGAGCAUACAUGCUAGGACCCGAAAGAUGGUGAACUAUGCCUGGACAAAGCGAAGCCAAAGGAAACUCUGGUGGAGGCUUGUAGCGAUUCUGACGUGCAAAUCGAUCGUCUGAUCUGGGUAUAGGGGCGAAAGACUAAUCGAACCAUCUCAUAGCUGGUUCCUGCCGAAGUUUCCCUCAGGAUAGCAGAGACCUUGUGGAAGUUGCAUGUGGUAAAGCGAAUGAUUAUUGACCCUGGGGCUCAAAUGGGCCUCAAUCUAUUCUCAAACUGUGAAUGCGUGCGGUUGGACUGUGCUUUGCGUAGAAGCCCUGCCAGCAAUGCUUCAGUCUCUAGUGGGCCGUUUCUGGUAAGCAGAACUGGCGAUGCGGGAUGAACCGAAAGUGAGGUUAAAGUGCCAGAAUGCACACUAACCAGAGAUAAAAGGCGUAUGUGCAUGGACACAGCAGGGCAGUGGCCAUGGAGGUUGGCAUCUGCUAAGGAGUGUGUAACAACUCACCUGCCUAAUGUACUUGCCCUGAAAAUGGAUGGCGCUCAAGUGUGUUACUCAUACCUCACCAUCAGUCUCAAG